ensembl:lncRNA
ACUGGACUGGGUAGCCAGCCCCUUCUCCAGCAGAUUUUCCCAACACAUGGAUCGAACCCAGGGUCUCCUGCAUUGCAGCAUCAGGGUCUUUUCCAAUGAGUCUGCUCUUCACAACAGGAGGCCAAAGUAUUGGAGCAUGUAAAGAACAGCCAGUGAGAACUGGGUGACUGGCCUAUGGAAAAGAGAAGCAAAAAGUAGAAGAUAACAUCAGGGAGUGAUAACAUAAUGAGUGAAGAGAAGACACAUGCAGUUUUAAAGGCUAUUUGAAAUACCUUUCCUUUAAUAAAGCCAUUUGAGAGUCCUGAAAAUAGAAAUGACCCAUUUAACUUACACUGCAAUAAUAUCACUUAAUUGCUGUGCUAUCAUUUAUUUAAUCAUUUAAUUGCUGUGAGUAAAAUGUAGAGGAGUCAGAGAGGUAGCAGGAAGAACAAUUAGGGGCUAAUAGUCAUACUGAUCUGGGUAA